GCCCUCAUAGCUCAGUUGGCAGAGCACAGUCUUGGUAAGACUGGGGUCAUGGGUUCAAAUCUCAUUGAGGGCUC
rnacentral:tRNA from 1 species